rnacentral:rRNA from 1 species
GGCGGCGUGCUAUACAUGCAGUCGAGCGGACGAAUCGAAAGCUUGCUUUUGAUUCGUUAGCGGCGGACGGGUGAGUAACACGUGGGCAACCUGCCCUGUAGACGGGGAUAACACCGAGAAAUCGGUGCUAAUACCGGAUAACACGAAAUGUCGCAUGACGUUUCGUUGAAAGACGGCGCAAGCUGUCGCUACAGGAUGGGCCCGCGGCGCAUUAGCUAGUUGGUGAGGUAACGGCUCACCAAGGCGACGAUGCGUAGCCGACCUGAGAGGGUGAUCGGCCACACUGGGACUGAGACACGGCCCAAACUCCUACGGGAGGCAGCAGUAGGGAAUCUUCCGCAAUGGACGAAAGUCUGACGGAGCAACGCCGCGUGAGCGAAGAAGGCCUUCGGGUCGUAAAGCUCUGUUGUUAGGGAAGAACAAGUAACGCAGUAACUGGCGUUACCGUGACGGUACCUAACGAGAAAGCCACGGCUAACUACGUGCCAGCAGCCGCGGUAAUACGUAGGUGGCAAGCGUUGUCCGGAAUUAUUGGGCGUAAAGCGCGCGCAGGCGGUUCCUUAAGUCUGAUGUGAAAGCCCACGGCUCAACCGUGGAGGGUCAUUGGAAACUGGGGGACUUGAGUGCAGAAGAGGAGAGCGGAAUUCCACGUGUAGCGGU